rnacentral:rRNA from 1 species
CUACGUGCCAGCAGCCGCGGUAAUACGGAAGGUCCAGGCGUUAUCCGGAUUUAUUGGGUUUAAAGGGAGCGUAGGCUGGAGAUUAAGUGUGUUGUGAAAUGUAGACGCUCAACGUCUGAAUUGCAGCGCAUACUGGUUUCCUUGAGUACGCACAACGUUGGCGGAAUUCGUCGUGUAGCGGUGAAAUGCUUAGAUAUGACGAAGAACUCCGAUUGCGAAGGCAGCUGACGGGAGCGCAACUGACGCUUAAGCUCGAAGGUGCGGGUAUCAAACAGGAUUAGAUACCCUGGUAGUCCGCACAGUAAACGAUGGAUGCCCGCUGUUGGUACUUGGUAUCAGCGGCUAAGCGAAAGCAUUAAGCAUCCCACCUGGGGAGUACGCCGGCAACGGUGAAACUCAAAGGAAUUGACGGGGGCCCGCACAAGCGGAGGAACAUGUGGUUUAAUUCGAUGAUACGCGAGGAACCUUACCCGGGCUUGAA